GACGAACCGUCCAAACGUUACUCGGAAUUACUGGGCUUAAAGGGUGCGUAGGCUGCGCGGAAAGUUGGGUGUGAAAUCCCUCAGCUCAACUGGGGAAUUGCAUUCAAAACUACCGUGCUCGAGGGAGACAGAGGUAAGCGGAACUCAAGGUGGAGCGGUGAAAUGCGUUGAUAUCUUGAGGAACACCGGUGGCGAAAGCGGCUUACUGGGUCUCUUCUGACGCUGAGGCACGAAAGCUAAGGUAGCAAACGGG
rnacentral:rRNA from 1 species